AUGUACAUUCUUACAACAUAGAGUUAAUGCACCAGAUCCCAUUAGAACUCCACAGUUAAGCACUCUCGGGCUAGAGUAGUACUGGGAUGGGUGACUGCCCAAGAAUUCCUAGUGUUUUACAUG
rfam:Picea glauca, whole genome shotgun sequence.